GGGAGCGUUCUGUAAGCCUGUGAAGGUGUGUCGUGAGGCAUGCUGGAGGUAUCAGAAGUGCGAAUGCUGACAUAAGUAACGAUAAAGCGGGUGAAAAGCCCGCUCGCCGGAAGACCAAGGGUUCCUGUCCAACGUUAAUCGGGGCAGGGUGAGUCGACCCCUAAGGCGAGGCCGAAAGGCGUAGUCGAUGGGAAACGGGUUAAUAUUCCCGUACUUGGUGUUACUGCGAAGGGGGGACGGAGAAGGCUAUGUUGGCCGGGCGACGGUUGUCCCGGUUUAAGCGUGUAGGUGUGUGUUCCAGGUAAAUCCGGUUCACUUUAACACUGAGGCGUGACGACGAGGCACUACGGUGCUGAAGCAACAAAUGCCCUGCUUCCAGGAAAAGCCUCUAAGCAUCAGGUAACAUCAAAUCGUACCCCAAACCGACACAGGUGGUCAGGUAGAGAAUACCAAGGCGCUUGAGAGAACUCGGGUGAAGGAACUAGGCAAAAUGGUGCCGUAACUUCGGGAGAAGGCACGCUGACACGUAGGUGAAGUGAUUUACUCAUGGAGCUGAAGUCAGUCGAAGAUACCAGCUGGCUGCAACUGUUUAUUAAAAACACAGCACUGUGCAAACACGAAAGUGGACGUAUACGGUGUGACGCCUGCCCGGUGCCGGAAGGUUAAUUGAUGGGGUCAGCGCAAGCGAAGCUCCUGAUCGAAGCCCCGGUAAACGGCGGCCGUAACUAUAACGGUCCUAAGGUAGCGAAAUUCCUUGUCGGGUAAGUUCCGACCUGCACGAAUGGCGUAAUGAUGGCCAGGCUGUCUCCACCCGAGACUCAGUGAAAUUGAACUCGCUGUGAAGAUGCAGUGUACCCGCGGCAAGACGGAAAGACCCCGUGAACCUUUACUAUAGCUUGACACUGAACAUUGAGCCUUGAUGUGUAGGAUAGGUGGGAGGCUUUGAAGCGUGGACGCCAGUCUGCGUGGAGCCGACCUUGAAAUACCACCCUUUAAUGUUUGAUGUUCUAACGUGGACCCGUGAUCCGGGUUGCGGACAGUGUCUGGUGGGUAGUUUGACUGGGGCGGUCUCCUCCUAAAGAGUAACGGAGGAGCACGAAGGUUGGCUAAUCCUGGUCGGACAUCAGGAGGUUAGUGCAAUGGCAUAAGCCAGCUUGACUGCGAGCGUGACGGCGCGAGCAGGUGCGAAAGCAGGUCAUAGUGAUCCGGUGGUUCUGAAUGGAAGGGCCAUCGCUCAACGGAUAAAAGGUACUCCGGGGAUAACAGGCUGAUACCGCCCAAGAGUUCAUAUCGACGGCGGUGUUUGGCACCUCGAUGUCGGCUCAUCACAUCCUGGGGCUGAAGUAGGUCCCAAGGGUAUGGCUGUUCGCCAUUUAAAGUGGUACGCGAGCUGGGUUUAGAACGUCGUGAGACAGUUCGGUCCCUAUCUGCCGUGGGCGCUGGAGAACUGAGGGGGGCUGCUCCUAGUACGAGAGGACCGGAGUGGACGCAUCACUGGUGUUCGGGUUGUCAUGCC
rnacentral:rRNA from 1 species